CUCAUGAAGUUAGGGCUACUGAUACCAGUAGUAGUGGCAGUUAUUGCCUCUGGGGGGCGCGCUUGCGUUCCGCUCAAGGGAGCUACCCACGAAACCCACGAGCGAGGAAUCCCUUUUUCAUUUAGCUGACGCUUUUAUCCAAAGCGACUUACGUUACAUUUUUAACCCAUGGCUUUACAUUUACAUUUUGCCUGGGAGCAAUAAGGGGUUAGGUGUCUUGCUCAGGGACACUUCGACAUGGGGCAGCCGGGACUUGAACCACCAACCUUGCGGUUCCCAGUGCCCCCUCUCUACCCCCGCGCGCCACGUCGCCCCCUUUUAUCCUUCCAGGAGACGUGAAGAAAAGAGCUCCCGGAUUUCGAGAGCCAGUUGAGUGUCAACUGACAUAAUCCCAUCGAAUAAUCGCGUACUGGAAACUCCGAUUGGUUUUUUAUGCACACUAGAAGAACCUGAACCCUGUGAAUCUGAAUGCUGAGAUGGCGAGCUAAACCCGGAUCGUGGAUGCGGUGUGGCCGACCGUAUGAUCAGACCCAACCUGAUUCGUGUAUCGAGAAGACGUCAGACUCCAGUCCUGCCGUCAGGUAGACGGUAGGAAGGUAGUUCAGAGAGACCGUAUACAUAAAGACCCGCACCACAACGGAACUCGGACCUCACGCACACACUAUUUACGGACUGAACGGAUUAUAUCCUUGACUUGUAUAUUUAUCUACUCUGGGAAGACUGAGUUCUUUCACAAGAAGCAUACAAUUUCCCGAUCAUCUACUCUUCUUUUGUUUUUUCAUUUCACACUGUUUUAUAUUGUGAUUGUUGCAUGACCGAGUGAAGCAAUAAACUGGUCAUUCGUU